UCGACUGUUUAUCAAAAACAUAGCCAUAAGUAUAUAUUUAUGGUGCUAUCUGCCCAGUGAAAAUUUUAAACGGCCGCAGUACCUUGACUGUGCAAAGGUAGCAUAAUCACUUGACUUUUAAAUGGAGCCUAGUAUGAAAGAGAUAACGUAGACAACUUGUCUUAUUAGCAUUAACUUAAAAUUGUUGUAUGAGUGAAAAUACUCUUAUAAAUUAAAAAUAGACGAGAAGACCCUUAGAAUUUUAAAAAUAUUAUAAGGAGGUCUUGUAAGAUUUUUUGUUGGGGCAACAAUAUUCCAAGCAAAAUAAAUGUUUUAUAGAAAGAUAAGUCGAUUUAAAUAGUUAUAUAAAAAUUACCUAAGGGAUAACAGCAUAAUUUUAAUUAAAUAAGCUUGUGAC
rnacentral:rRNA from 1 species